AGGACGAACGCUGGCGGCGUGCUUAACACAUGCAAGUGGAGCGACGAGCCAGGGCUUGCCCUGGGGCAGAGCCGCGAACGGGUGAGUAACACGUGGGUUACCUGCCUCGAUGACCGGGACAACCCGAGGAAACUCGGGCUAAUACCGGAUGUGCCCGCAAGGGGAAAGGAAGCUUCGGCCUCCGCAUCGAGAUGGGCCCGCGGCCCAUUAGCUUGUUGGUGAGGUAACGGCUCACCAAGGCUUCGAUGGGUAGCUGGUCUGAGAGGACGAUCAGCCACACUGGGACUGAGACACGGCCCAGACUCCUACGGGAGGCAGCAGUGGGGGAAUCUUGCGCAAUGCGCGAAAGCGUGACGCAGCAACGCCGCGUGGGGGAAGAAGGCUUUCGGGUUGUAAACCCCUUUCAGUUGGGACGAAGCUUCGCCGGUGAAUAGCCGGCUGGAGUGACGGUACCUUCACAAGAGCACCGGCUAACUACGUGCCAGCAGCCGC
rnacentral:rRNA from 1 species